rnacentral:rRNA from 1 species
UCGAACAGACCUAAUUACUUUAGCUUCUACACCAAAAUUUUAUUUUAAUCCAACAUCGAGGUCGCAAUCUUUAUUUUCGAUAAGAACUCUCAAAAAAAAUUACGCUGUUAUCCCUAAGGUAAUUUAAUCUUUUAAUCUUUAAAUAAGGAUCAGUUAUUCAUAAAUUAAUGUUUUAAUAUAAAAAAGUUCAACAAAUUUUUAAAUCACCCCAAUCAAAUUAAUGCCAAUAUAAAAAAAUUUAAUUCUAAUAAUAAUUAUAAAUACACUAAUAAAACUCUAUAGGGUCUUCUCGUCUUUAAUUUAUAUUUAAGCUUUUUUACUUAAAAAUAAAAUUCCAACAAAAUUAAAUAGAGACAGUUAUUUUCUCAUCUAACCUUUCAUUCCAGCUUUCAAUUAAAAAACUAUUGAUUAUGCUACCUUUGCACGGUCAAAUUACCGCGGCCAUUUAAAUUUC